GUUGAAACAUCACUUCCCGUACGGUCACCGAAGUUAAGCAACGUCGAACCUGGUCAGUACGUAGAUGGCUGACCGCUUGUGAAUACCAAGGGCUGUAAG